UUUAAGUGCAUAUGUGAGUUUUUGUGUGCAACGUUUGACCAUUCGUCUUAUUUAAAUUUUUUUAUGAUUAGUAUUUUCAUUGUUAUUAGAUAAUAAAAUAUGAAUAAUAUUUUAUAUGUGACUUUUUUUUAAUAUUUUCGUAAAUUUUUCAAAUAAGACGGAUGUACGGUCAAAAGUUGAACUAGAAAUUUCACAACUGCACUUAAA
rfam:Oryza meridionalis cultivar OR44 (W2112) chromosome 10, whole genome shotgun sequence.